rnacentral:rRNA from 2 species
UGUUUCGGCUAGGGGGUCAUCCCGACUUACCAACCCGAUGCAAACUGCGAAUACCGGAGAAUGUUAUCACGGGAGACACACGGCGGGUGCUAACGUUCGUCGUGAAGAGGGAAACAACCCAGACCGCCGGCUAAGGUCCCAAAGUCAUAAUUAAGUGGGAAACGAAGUGGGAAGGCUCAGACAGCCAGGAUGUUGGCUUAGAAGCAGCCAUCAUUUAAAGAAAGCGUAAUAGCUCACUGGUCGAGUCGGCCUGCGCGGAAGAUGUAACGGGGCUAAAUUAUGCACCGAAGCCGCGGCAGCGAUAUGUAAAUAUUGUUGGGUAGGGGAGCGUUCUGUAAGCCUGUGAAGGUGUGCUGUGAGGCAUGCUGGAGGUAUCAGAAGUGCGAAUGCUGACAUAAGUAACGAUAAUGCGGGUGAAAAACCCGCACGCCGGAAGACCAAGGGUUCCUGUCCAACGUUAAUCGGGGCAGGGUGAGUCGACCCCUAAGGCGAGG